rnacentral:misc_RNA from 1 species
UAGGACUAUCUGCUGUCGAAAAUCCUCUACCAAUGGAUAAGACUUUGGUCUUAGUCUAAGUCUAGGCGAGUUUUUGAUUAGAAAGGAGCAAUAACCAACACUCUUGAUAGAAAAAGAAAUUGGUUAUUGUUCCUUUAUUGAGUGCUCUUUUCUUUACAUAAGUUUUUCUUUACUUCAACAUAAGAAAAAGUAUUCUAGUCUUAGGGAUUGGUUUAUGAUUGCGUAUCAUCCUUUUUUCCUUAGAUAUGAAUUUCGAAUUUAUAUACAUUCUUUUCAACCCUUUGUAAGGCUUUGGGAGAUUAUUAUCUUCUAGUUUUUUUUUUCAAAUAAAAUAGAAAGUUUAAAAUUUUCUGCUUCUUCUAUCUCAUAAUUAAAAUAAAAAAAUGUUAAAAAUUUACAAUCGAAAUGAAAUAUUUUCCAUUAUGAAUUUCUUUUUUUUUUUAUUUCMUUAAAAAWGUAAWAUUYUUUUUUUUUUUUUUUUUAGGGRUUAAAAAAAAA